rnacentral:rRNA from 1 species
AGUGAACGCUGGCGGUAGGCCUAACACAUGCAAGUCGAACGGCAGCACAGUAAGAGCUUGCUCUUACGGGUGGCGAGUGGCGGACGGGUGAGGAAUACAUCGGAAUCUACUUUUUCGUGGGGGAUAACGUAGGGAAACUUACGCUAAUACCGCAUACGACCUACGGGUGAAAGCAGGGGAUCUUCGGACCUUGCGCGAUUGAAUGAGACGAUGUCGGAUUAGCUAGUUGGCGGGGUAAAGGCCCACCAAGGCGACGAUCCGUAGCUGGUCUGAGUGGAUGAUCAGCCACACUGGAACUGAGACACGGUCCAGACUCCUACGGGAGGCAGCAGUGGGGAAUAUUGGACAAUGGGCGCAAGCCUGAUCCAGCCAUACCGCGUGGGUGAAGAAGGCCUUCGGGUUGUAAAGCCCUUUUGUUGGGAAAGAAAAGCAGCAGGUUAAUACCCCGCUGUUCUGACGGUACCCAAAGAAUAAGCACCGGCUAACUUCGUG